GUGCUUGCUUCAGCAGCACAUAUACUAAAAUUGGAACGACACAGAGAAGAUUAGCAUGACCCCUGUGCAAGGAUCACACACACACACACAAAAACACAUUGCUUUGU